rnacentral:rRNA from 1 species
UUUUAUUUGAGAGUUUGAUCCUGGCUCAGGAUGAACGCUGGCGGCGUGCCUAACACAUGCAAGUUGAGCGAUUUACUUCGGUAAAGAGCGGCGGACGGGUGAGUAACGCGUGGGUAACCUACCCUGUACACACGGAUAACAUACCGAAAGGUAUGCUAAUACGGGAUAAUAUAUUUGAGAGGCAUCUCUUGAAUAUCAAAGGUGAGCCAGUACAGGAUGGACCCGCGUCUGAUUAGC